rnacentral:rRNA from 1 species
AUUGAACGCUGGCGGCAGGCCUAACACAUGCAAGUCGAGCGAGCGACGGACGGGCGAGUAAUGUCUGGGAAACAGCCUGAUGAAGGGGGAUAACUACUGGAAGCGGUAGCUAAUAACGCACACGAUCAGUUGUGUCCACUUGGGAUUGGCUGGUAGGUGGGGUAACGGCUCACCAAGGCGACGGUCCCUAGCUGGUCUGAUAGGAUGAGCAGCCACACUGAAACUGAGACACGGUCCAGACUCCUAAGGGAGGCAGCAGUGGGGAAUAUUGCACAAUGGGGGAAAGCCUGAUGCAGCCAUGCCGCGUGUGUGAAGAAGGCCUUCGGGUUGUAAAGCACUUUCAGCGGGGAGGCGUUACCCGCAGAAGAAGCACCGGCUAACUCCGUGCCAGCAGCCGCGGUAAUAC